rnacentral:rRNA from 1 species
UACGAUGGGGGUCUAUAAUGCAAGUCGAACGCACAGCGAAAGGUGCUUGCACCUUUCAAGUGAGUGGCGAACGGGUGAGUAACACGUGGACAACCUGCCUCAAGGCUGGGGAUAACAUUUGGAAACAGAUGCUAAUACCGAAUAAAACUUAGUGUCGCAUGACAAAAAGUUAAAAGGCGCUUCGGCGUCACCUAGAGAUGGAUCCGCGGUGCAUUAGUUAGUUGGUGGGGUAAAGGCCUACCAAGACAAUGAUGCAUAGCCGAGUUGAGAGACUGAUCGGCCACAUUGGGACUGAGACACGGCCCAAACUCCUACGGGAGGCUGCAGUAGGGAAUCUUCCACAAUGGGCGAAAGCCUGAUGGAGCAACGCCGCGUGUGUGAUGAAGGCUUUCGGGUCGUAAAGCACUGUUGUAUGGGAAGAACAGCUAGAAUAGGAAAUGAUUUUAGUUUGACGGUACCAUACCAGAAAGGGACGGCUAAAUACGUGCCAGCAGCCGCGGUAAUACGUAUGUCCCGAGCGUUAUCCGGAUUUAUUGGGCGUAAAGCGAGCGCAGACGGUUUAUUAAGUCUGAUGUGAAAGCCCGGAGCUCAACUCCGGAAUGGCAUUGGAAACUGGUUAACUUGAGUGCAGUAGAGGUAAGUGGAACUCCAUGUGUAGCGGUGGAAUGCGUACAUAUAUGGAAGAACACCAGUGGCGAAGGCGGCUUACUGGACUGCAACUGACGUUGAGGCUCGAAAGUGUGGGUAGCAAACAGGAUUAAUCCGGGGGGGAACAACCCAUAAUCCAACAAAAUUGUUGGAAGAAUGGAUUUUUACCCCCA